GGGACUUAAUCGCCUUCUGGACAAACAUAAUCUAUGCGACCUCCUCCCCAUAAGGUACAGGAUCAGUAUGGGUUUUAAUUGAGGGGCUCGGCACCAAAUGACAGACUUGACACAUCCACCCCCACCAUGGAUGCUGUCCGUCCACUGUUGCACAAUGUCCUUCAGUGUCUAAUUUACAGAUCCAGCUGUAUUUCCCCUUCCACCUGCAUCCCUGAAGUUCCUCCCACCUGAAAACUUCACCUGACCCAAGAAAGCAAAGGAAAAAACCCGGAGAGCCAGCUCAUAGUCUGGUUCACUGUUUAACAGCCAGAAGCCAGAGCCUGCGUACUAGAAGUGGAUGCCCAGGAAGUACUUGUGAGCUGACUAAGAAUGUAAGAACGCCACCCACUUCAUUCAGGAAAGUGAGGCAGGAUUCCAUGGAGUAUGAAUGACUGCACAUGGAACAAGCAGGUUAUCAUUUAUAUUCAGCAAGGGACCUCCAUGAACAGGACAUUUGGGGAGCUGCUAUCAAACAUCAGAACUUCUGACACUGUGCACACAGUCUUAUAUUGUGCCUUGUCUGUUGUGAUGUCUCACUACAGUAAUGAUUAAGAUGAUGAGCA
rnacentral:lncRNA from 1 species